CUUCACGAAAGUUCUGAGACUCUUAGCCACACCCCAACCCUAACCUUCUGUCCAUCUCUCUGUUGCCGAGCUUUGAAGAAAUCAUGUCUCACUUUGGGAGGUCCGGCCCUCCUGACAUCUCCGACACCUACUCUCUUCUCGUCCUCAACAUCACCUUCCGUACCACUGCGGACGAUCUGUUCCCACUUUUUGAUAAGUAUGGCAAGGUUGUGGAUAUCUUCAUCCCUAGAGAUCGGAGGAGUGGUGAUUCACGAGGCUUUGCAUUUGUGCGCUACAAGUACGCGGACGAAGCACAAAAGGCUGUGGAAAGGCUAGAUGGGAGAGUUGUUGAUGGUCGGGAGAUAACAGUUCAAUUUGCCAAAUAUGGCCCAAAUGCAGAGAAGAUUCAAAAAGGAAGGAUUGUUGAAUCAUUACCUAGAUCAAAGUACAGUUCAAGAAGUCGCAGCCCUCGAAAAAGAUACCGAGAUGACUACAGGGACAGGGAUUACAGGAGAAGUCGUCGCAGCAGAAGCUAUGAUAGGCAUGAUCUCGACCGACAUCGUGGAAGGGAUAGGGAUGUUCGCCGUCGUAGCAGGAGUCGCAGUGCAAGCCCUGAUUACUCUAGGGGCCGCGGAGGAGGCCGGUAUGAUGAGGACCGACGCAGUGCUAGUCGGUCAAUAGAUAGGAGUGCCUCCCCUGUUCGCCGAGGUCGAAGUCCUCGCAGGAGCCCCUCACCUCGCAGGAGCCUUUCUCCUCGCAGGAAUCUUUCCCCUAGCAGGACUCCUCCUUCUAGGGGCAAGAGCCCUGAAAAUCGCAGUCUCAAUGGACAUUCUCCCACUCCUCGUAGUGCAUCUCCAAGACUUCGACCUGCUGCUUCCCAAAGCCCAUCCCCCCAGAAUUCUGAUGCUGAUGAAUAACUCUUACAUGAUGCGGGAGAGGUCGUGGAGCUAUUAUCAGGAAUUUAUGUCUUAUGGCUUGUUGCAGUUGUUGGUCAUUUUAUCAUCGUGUUUCUGAUCAGAGAUUUAGAUUUCUGGUAUUGGUAGGGACUAGUGCUCCGGUUUUACUAUUUUUAUGGGGAACCAUAUUGCUCGUUACUGUAGUGCAUCUGGUAUGCGUGUACGUAAUACUUGUAGUUCUGUUCGAGAAAAGAUUUGACUCGUGGCUGAUGGACACAAAUGUUGAUAUUUGGCUAUUGUGGCUGUCGAUGCUGUUUGUAAAACAUAGAUGCAUGAUCGUGACUGUGAUGCUGAUUAUAGGGGUGUGCUGAUUUCUCUGGAGAAUAGAUAACUAAUUUUCCUUUUCUGAUCUGAGGAUUGGUAAGAUCUAGUCAACUUCUGGUUUCCUGAAAAAUGCUGUCAUUCAGGUGUAUUAUGUUUAUCUGAUUAAUGUGUGGUCUUUGUUGAUUCCGAAUCUGUCAUCCUGAAAUAUGUUGGUUGUUGCUGUGAUGGUGUGAGUGGUGGACACAAGGUGUACGUGUCACUUUAGCUGUAGCUGAGGCUGCAUAUGUGGUGGACCUGUGAUUCAGUAAAUUUGAUGCGGACGCAUAAUAAUAUACUGAACUUCGCAGCUGGACUUAUCAAACAUGCUGGUGCCUUUCUGUUGUGUGAUAUGUGGUUCGUGGGUAUUUUGAAGUACUGUUGAAUAAGACUUGUAGCAGGCUGUUGCUGGCCUUCGUGCUGGUGUCAGAUUGGUGAUAUUUCUAGCAAUUUUGAUACUGAUGAUGACUCUGUAGCUGUGUUACUGGCUUGCAGUCAAAUUAAAAGAACUGCUUUGAUAUUGUUGCUGUGCAUAUUUUGAGCUGCUGAGGAUAUGUAGUGCUAUCUUUUCUGUCAGAAGUCGUCAUGAGGUUUUGCAUACAACACAAUAGAAAAGAAGUCUGGUAUUUCUUUCCUCUUUGGCACGUUCACAUGACGAUUAUACUAGCCCAUUUUAAGUAGAUAUACUUGCUGCUUUUUCAGGUUUAGCUAGUAGAAUUGUUUACUUCGUUUUUGUAGGUCUCAUUUUUCUAGUUUACUUUUUUAUUCUCUUGUGCUAGUCUUUUCCCAUCCCCAAUUUUUCUCCGUCUUGUUCUAUAUUAAAGCAAGCACCUUCAUUUAGGGUAUCACUUCCUGUUGUUGGCAUCAACUUCUGAGUGCUGGUUGCUUAGUUAGAAAUUUGGCAGCAUAGAGUGGCACAUAUAUAUGUCCUUACAUUUAUCUUUUUUGAUGCAAGUCCAUUGAACCUUACAUUGUCUAGUUCCGAUAUUCUUUUUCUAGUUUGUGGUGUUUGCAUUUGUGAUAACUGUUUUAUUUAAUUUUUCUUGGUUCAUGUCUUUUGGUACACACCAUUUGGUGUAUGGCUUGUAUAUAUUUGUUCUUUUUGUGAGAUAUAAAGUUAUGUACGCUUGGUACUUGUGAAUGUACAUUGUGUUCCAGUCUUGAGUCUUGAUGCAGUGGAAAAUUUGUUCCCUGGCGAUCUAAUCAUCAUAUUUUUUAACCAUCAAAAUAAUUUUUUAAAGGCAGUGGAGGUAAUGUGGGCUUGUCCGCUUAGGUCCUCUAGUCCUGGGAGCCUUUUUGGUGGGAUUACAAUCUUGUUUGGAUGAGUGUGGGAAAUGUGUUUAGUGGUUGAUAUUUUUUGCUUGCUUAAUUUCUCUGAUCAUCUAUAUUUUCUUUGUUUUUCCAUAUCCUUGGGUUUUGGGUUGGUUAGGAGAUCAAUUCUUCAUCAUAGUGGGGAUCAGUUGCGUCUUGGGUUUUGUUGUUAAAGUUGGUUUUUUUCCUUGAAUGUGGUGUCAAACAAUUAAGAAGCUAGAACUGAUCAUUUUAUCACUGCCAAUUUCAUUAUCACUUGAGGUUUAUAAUUUUGCGGGAUUUCAAAGUUAACCGAUCCAAGUGCCAUUCUUUCGUCCAUCUCCGGUGUUUACCACUCCAAAAAGCACCUAUAACCCAACUCAUAUUCUUGUUAUGGUUGGUUGUAAUUAUUUGAUUGCCUGGGAACUUUUAUUGUGUUUGAUCUCGAGAGUGAUAUAUGCCCCCGUAGUGAAAGCUUGACUGAAUGCCAUGGUUAGACUUCGGGAGGUGUCAGUGGCAUGUGCUAUUGAAGUUAAAGCCGAAACUUUGGCAGAGGCCUGUCGAAGUGCUUGUUUGAAAAUUCUUAACGUGACUUGUUGACACCAUUGUCAUUUGUGAGAGUUUAUUGUCAGCUGAAUAGAAUUUUUGCACCCGUCGGUUGUAAAUGGAAUAGGUUUAUUUAACUGCAGAAUGCCAAUGGUUGCUCGGGGA